CCACUGUCGUUGACUUCUUGUCCUACCUCAAACUUAAAGAGAUGGGAGCCUUGGACACCCUGCCGUCCUCUGUGACAUCAGAAGAACUGGCCAAUCCCUGAAGUUUGUGUCUUUGCGCCCGCUGUUUGUGUUUGUGCUGAGUGGGCGUCUCCUUUCACACCAAACAUCCGAUUCUUUAACACACUAUCACUUCGGUCCGAUCUUUGUGCUGCUGUAAAUAAAUCUUGAGAUCCCCUGACUGAAGGAGGAUCCAGCCAAUGAAAAGCCAUCACUGUAUUAUCAUCUUCAUAUAUAUCAUCAUGGUCUGAUUUCAGAGAGUGGACUGAAUUAAACUAUGGCACUGGACUCACUGGA